UGGGGCGAUGGCGAAAUGGCAGCCGCGAGAGACUUAAAAUCUUUUGCUGGUCAACCCAGCGUGUGGGUUCGACUCCCUCUCGCCCCAU
rnacentral:tRNA from 1 species